rnacentral:lncRNA from 1 species
UUUAGGGUUUAAAACCCUAAUGCUGGCUGAAUGGAAAAAGUUCAGUUUAGGGUUUAAAACCCUAAUGCUGAUUGCAUGAAAAAGCUCAGUUUAGGGUUUAAAACCCUAAUGCUGGCUGAAUGGAAAAAAGUUCAGUUUAGGGUUUAAAACCCUAAUGCUGACUAAAGGAAAAAUUCAGUUUAGGGUUUAAAACCCUAAUGCUGACUGCAUGGAAAAGCUCAGUUUAGGGUUUAAAACCCUAAUGCUGGCUGAAUGGAAAAAGUUCAGUUUAGGGUUUAAAACCCUAAUGCUGAUUAAAGUAAUAAGUUCAGUUCAGGGUUUAAAACCCUAAUGCUGACUGCAUGGAAAAGCUCAGUUUAGGGUUUAAAACCCUAAUGCUGGCUGAAUGGAAAAAAGUUCAGUUUAGGGUUUAAAACCCUAAUGCUGAUUGCAUGAAAAAGCUCAGUUUAGGGUUUAAAACCCUAAUGCUGGCUGAAUGGAGAAGCUCAGUUUAGGGUUUAAAACCCUAAUGCUGGCUGAAUGGAAAAAGUUCAGUUUAGGGUUUAAAACCCUAAUGCUGAUUGCAUGAAAAAGCUCAGUUUAGGGUUUAAAACCCUAAUGCUGACUGGAAGGAAAAGCUCAGUUUAGGGUUUAAAACCCUAAUGCUGGCUGAAUGGAAAAAGUUCAGUUUAGGGUUUAAAACCCUAAUGCUGACUAAAGGAAAAAAUCAGUUUAGGGUUUAAAACCAUAAUGCUGACUGCAUGGAAAAGCU